rnacentral:lncRNA from 1 species
AUGAAUUGUGCUGUCUGAUUUGCUCAAGUAUUCGAGCUUUCCAGUGCUUCCGAACAACCAAAGCCCCCAAACAAAGCUUAUCUUCUUUUAGUUCUAUAGAAGGAGUUUGCCAAGUAACACUCCCACAGCUGAAAAGCAUUUGGAAGUCACACCUAGAAGGAUGCUGGCACCUGUGCUGCUACCAUUCUCCACGCCGGCUCAUGAUUCCUUCUCGGCUCAUGACCCACUCUGGAGUCCUUCCAAAUCAGGGAUUGCCAGCAGGUCAAGAUGAGCCCACAAGUAUCUCUGUGAUAGUGAAAGCUAUGAGAACUAAAGGCUAAGCCAUGAGGUGGAUACUCUGCAAAGGUGGUAUUGUGAAGAUCUGUUGCUCUUACAAAUGGCUAUUUAGAAUUGGAAAGAGAAUAAAGCUCUUGCAAGCACAACAGGAACUGUCAGCUGAAGUACCAUUGCAGGGGUUGUUACCUGAAAGGAACCAUCCUCCAUGCAGCAGCUGUGGAUGCAGGGUAGGAAACACACUACCUUGUUUGCACCACUGGAAUAUGAACACGUCUCAAACUCAUUUACAUUUUCCUGUAAACCCAAUACUUUGGGGAAGACACCCUGGGGAAGACAGCCUGCAGUUCCCAUGUAAGAAGAAAUUGCUAUUUCAUCAUAAAUAUGUGAAAACAGGACAACUAAGCCACCUUAACAGGAUAUAUUACAGACAACAUCUUCUUUCAAGAACCUUACUACAGGUGUCCAGCAAAGGAAGUUCUCGGCCGUUGAGGGACAAGGAUCAGGAAUCAUGGGAACUUGCAAAGACUUUGCUUUCUCCUCAAGGGGAAGAUUUAACUGAUUUAUAUUUAAACAGUCUCAGAGGGAAGGGGGAACUGUCCACAGAACCUGCGCGGGCAACGUGGCUCCCUGUGAAGGCAUCAGCUAAUAGGAAGAAGGAGUAGAUUCUUGAUGUGGAUUUUAAUGGUCAGGACUUCCAAAUACACUGAACCAUUUCCUAGCUGGCCCUGAAUCCCACCGGUUAUGCCUCCAAAAUUUCUCCAAAAUGAGUCCAAUAGGUAUUCUCCUGAGCACCUCCAGUCAAAACUCACUAGCAAGUCCUUUACUAUGUACUUCCUUCAUCAUAUCUUGAACAAGAAAAAAAUAAAAAAACAAAAAACCCUUCCA